rnacentral:rRNA from 1 species
CAAGUCGAGCGGAACGAGUUAUCUGAACCUUCGGGGAACGAUAACGGCGUCGAGCGGCGGACGGGUGAGUAAUGCCUAGGAAAUUGCCCUGGUGUGGGGGAUAACCAUUGGAAACGAUGGCUAAUACCGCAUAAUACCUUCGGGUCAAAGAGGGGGACCUUCGGGCCUCUCGCGUCAGGAUAUGCCUAGGUGGGAUUAGCUAGUUGGUGAGGUAAUGGCUCACCAAGGCGACGAUCCCUAGCUGGUCUGAGAGGAUGAUCAGCCACACUGGAACUGAGACACGGUCCAGACUCCUACGGGAGGCAGCAGUGGGGAAUAUUGCACAAUGGGCGCAAGCCUGAUGCAGCCAUGCCGCGUGUGUGAAGAAGGCCUUCGGGUUGUAAAGCACUUUCAGUCGUGAGGAAGGUAGUGUAGUUAAUAGCUGCAUUAUUUGACGUUAGCGACAGAAGAAGCACCGGCUAACUCCGUGCCAGCAG